rnacentral:tRNA from 1 species
GAGGGUAUAGCUCAGUGGUAGAGUGCAUGCUCAGCAUGCAUGAGGUCCUGGGUUCAAAUCUCAGUACCUACA